UCCCGGGGAUCUCGGCCUGGUCGGGUGUUUGUUGUAGUAUAUCCCUCCUGUCUGAAGAAGAAGAAGAACUCUUUGUCCAGUUUGAGGUAAAUAGUCAUAAUGCUCUAAACUGCUCUCGUGACAAACAAACUUUGCUGCCCUGUUUCCAAUCAUCCACGUAGCUGGGAGAACCUAUUCAAGUACUACACAGAAAGCUGUGACGGCCUGUAUGCAGAUGAAGAGCAGUGGUUCUCAGUCUGGUCCUGGGGACUCAAAGGGGUGUACAUUUUUGUUUUUUGCCAUAGCACUACAUGGCUGAUUCAAAUGAUCAACUCAUCAUCAAGCUUCAAGUGAUAUCUUGCAACUGGAGAUUCCAUCAAAACGAUUGCCUACAGUUACCGUGUAGGGCACUGCACGGUUGGGUGACCAGGACCAUCUGAGACUGCCUCGUGGGGGAAUUCACAUUGCAAUAAGAGUAUUCUUCCAUUUACUUAGCUAUGUCAACUGCAGUUAUUUAAUUCCCAUUUUCUUGCCCUUCGACUUCUACUUCUCAGGCGAGGGUGUUGUUCAGGUAGGGGUGAUGUCUGUACAAAAACAGGCUCUUUUAAGAGUCACCCAUAUUGGAAAAAUAUAGAACAAUUAGACACCCUACAACCCACACCUACAUUGUAUCAAUCUGAAUGAUAUAUUGUGUUGUUCAGUAAGCAGGCUCAGGUGUAUAACUGUGGCUCAUUCUACUUUCAGAGAAUAUGCAAGAGGACCAACCAUUGAGAAUGGUUAUAUCAGCUGUAUCUGUGACCCUCUCCCGCUUCUGAACUGCCUGACACAUAGAGAGCACAGCAUGAUCAGAGGUAUCUUUUGAUGUGAGAGAGGAUGACAACCCCCAACCCUCGGUCCAACUGGGGGCCCAAGGCUUGGGUAGGAGACAGCGCUAGAGACACUUAUGUAAUUGUGAUGACCUUAGAGACUAUGGAGUUUAAUUGCACUGUAUUUCAUUCAUCAUUAUGCUGUCUUCUGUUCUUAUCUCUUUCCCUUUCUGUCUUUUACACUAUUUCUCAUACCUCUCUCCCCACCUCCCCUUUCUUCCUCUGUUUUUAUGAUGCACACCAGAUCUGCAUUGAAGUACAGAUUGAACUUUUUAUAAUAUAAUAUCACAAUUAUAGUAUUCAUAAUGUAUGUAUUUAUAUCACUUGGAUAAUGAACUUCUUUCAGUAAAGCUUUUCACAUUCUCUACUGGAAUUGGUUCA